CCUACGAGAGGCAGCAGUGGGGAAUAUUGCGCAAUGGGCGAAAGCCUGACGCAGCGACGCCGCGUGAGGGAUGAAGGUCUUCGGAUCGUAAACCUCUGUCAGCAGGGAAGAACGGUCAAGGGGCUAAUCAGCAGUGAAUGGACGGUACCGGCAAAGGAAGCACGGGCUAACUCCGUGCCAGCAGCCGCUGUAAUACGGCGGGGGAGAGCGUUACGCGGAAUGACUGGGCGUAACGCUCUCGUAGGCUGUAUGUCCAGUCAAGGGGGAAAGCCCCGCGCUCAACUUGGGAACUGCCUUUGAAACUGGCAACCUGGAGUGCGUGAGAGGUUAGUGGAAUUCCAGGUGU
rnacentral:rRNA from 1 species